ACUAUUUUUACAUUCUAGAAAGGGCCUGGGGGGCAUUGUAUAAAUAAACAAGUAAAUACACAGGCGUUACGGAGAAAGAGAGAGCAAUGUGAAGGAGACAGGACAUGUUUGCCCCAUAGGUAGGCAGGUCUGGGCAGGCCUCAGUGUCAAGGUGACAUUUGAGCAGAGACUUAGAGCCAUGGGCAGAAGGAAAGAUGUGGCUCUCUGAAGGGAAACCAUUUAAGUCAGAGGAAACAGCAAACACAAAUGUCUUAAAGCUGCAGCAGAGCUGGAAUGUUCACAGAAGGUUCACAUAAACCCUAAGAGGUUUCCAUAGCUGGGACAGAGUGUGUGAGGGGAAGAGGGAUAGGACACGGGAUGGUAGGAGCAGUUGGGGGCAUGGGAUGCAAACCACGUAGGCCCUUAUCGGCCACUGGAGGACUCUGACUUUUCCAUGGCUUGACAAACAGAAGGCACUGGGGAGUUUUGAGCAGAGAAGUGACUUCAUUUCAAAAGGCUUCCUUUGGAUGCUACACAGAAGUCGAGUGCAAGGGCCAGUGACAGAAACGGAAUGCCCGUUUCAACCACUACAAACAAACCAGGAACCUCCCCUUCUAGCUCCUGGGGGACUGUCAAACAUGAAAUGUCCCUUGCUGGUCACACAUCUGAUCAUGACAUCCAAUCUGGCCAAUCAGAAUACCUCACCCUGGACAUAGGGAAUGCUCCAGUGUUGGACAAAUGAGCCAGGCAGGACCAAGCAAAGACAUUCUUGGGAACUAAUACAAGGCUGUUUAAGAAAAUUUGGGAUCUCUACCUACAGAAACAAUGUAAGCUAGCAAUGCCAAUAACCUUAGACACUCCAAGAAAAUAAAUCAACUGGAGGAAGUGAGAAUAAAACAAUAAAGAGAAACAAAAGUUUUGGUGAUGUCAUUUGAACUCCUGGGAACGGCCAUGUCUGGAGCUACAUCCACUGUUGCUCUUGUUAUACAAGUCAAUUACUUAUCGAAUUUGAAUUGGAUUUUUGUCAUCCACAACCAAAUAAGUUGUGAGUAAUAUAAUCUUCCAGCACUGAACACUGCUGUUCCAACCUCCUAAAGCCAGCGAGAGCCCCUGGAAACCCUGUGUGCUAUAUGCAGAAU
rnacentral:lncRNA from 10 species